GCAAGGGAGACGAAGGAUUGGCAGAGAAGAUAGGUUAAUUUUGCAAAUUGACCCAGUAAAAAGAUUCCAUUCAUAGAUAAGUCCUUGAGAGAAAUAUUGGUCAUGGAUUUUAGGUAUACUUCCGGAGAAAGGUUCAAUUUUUUUUGGCAAAACCUUCUCUCUCCUAUACCUAAAACCAGUUUUAGGUAUACAAGCUUACCAACUGUACUGGAGAUAUUCUAAGUGCAACCAAACCAAAUUUUAGAGCCUUUGUCUGUCGACUUUUUGGGCUUCAACUUCACUGUGUAGCU
rnacentral:lncRNA from 1 species